AACUGCGUCCUGAGCCCUACCCCUUGACCAGCCACUUAGUUUGCUCUGGAAUUCCCGUUCUCCUGAAGGGGAGAGGAGAGCCUCGCGGAAGGUCCCACGCACCCUCAACCUGGGGUCUAGACCAGGCGGUCCCAAAGCUUCUGCGAACAGCUGUGCCCAGCAUGAGGAGGAGUGCAGGUCACCGACGGGCUAGAAUGACGUGCAGUACUAGGAAAAAGAACUGGAACAAAUAAUCCUAAAAUUUGUGUGGAACUUCAAAAGACUGAGUUGCCCAAGCAAUCUUGAGAAAAAAGAACAAAGCUGGAGAUAUGCUCCCCGAUUUCUCAAUAUGCAAUGCUACAGUCAUCAAAACGGCACUGUGUAGCUGUACAUGAACAUCUCUGCAAUUGAUCGACUGAUGAUACUUCUGUCUUACAUGAGAUCACUAAGUUACCAUGGAGUCACUCUGUGAAGAAGCCCUCUCCUUUGGGAAGAUGCCCACCCAGCAGGGAGACCUCAUGGACCAGUUCACAAUUUGUUUUCAGACAUAUUAACCCCACAAAUACAACAUAUCAUAUUAUGCCUUGUACUACCAGAGCAGUAGCCCCACCGGGGAUCACCAGAGCAGUUACCCUAGCCCCAGGUGUAUACUCCCAGCUCUGUGUUCACUGGAUACUUGUUCCCUAGAAUUUCUAAAGUACAUACAAUAAACUGUUUUCAGGAAAAAUAUUCCUGUGCCUGAGCCCAUUAGAGAUGUUGCUAUGGUUGGGUGGCUGAGCUUGCCAGGCUAGGAUGCAAUUUUCAUGUCCACGGCUUUGAGUCCAGCUUUCAGCUCACAACUGGAGGGUGACUUGAAUGCCGCUUGGAGAUACACAAAGAUUUCUUGCUCAAGCCUGAAAUUGGAGUGUCCUUCCUCUCCUGGCUCUGCCCCCUCUUACCCUCCAGCAUCCUCCUACUUCUCCUCUAUCUUAAUCCCAGGGAUCCUCCAGCAUCUGAGCAAUACAGUGGGUGAAUGUGUGUGUAGUAACUUUGGCCAUCUCCUCCUGUGGGGCACGGUAGGACCAGGUGAGGUCAGGAGGUAAACAUUGAUAAACUCAUUAAGUCCUAAAUUUUUAAAAAGACAAAAACAAAUAAAAUAGAGCUGAAACUAGAGCAGUAAGCCAACAGAGUUACCUACUCUAGAGUUGACCUGGGGUAGGGGUAUGACUAUUCCACCAUCCUGUCAGAAACAGAAGCUUCUUUUAGUUCCUUUGUGUCUCAUCUCAUUCAACCUGCUGCAUGAAUAUGAAAGUGCAAUCAAUGCAUUCAUAAGAUUUUAUCAUUAUUAUUAUCAACAAAGCGCUUUAUAAAUAUAUUUCUCUUCAAGGACAUCAUUCUAUUGUAUUAGGACUUCAUGUUUCUUGCAUGCCUAGUAUAGAAGUUCUAGCAGCUGCCUGGAAUUAUUUUUUUUCUUGUGGAUAAAUAAGGCCAUCUGAGUAAAUAUGUAAUUAGGACCAUAAUGGCACAUUUUGACUGCUUUUAAUAAAUAACACCAACCA
rnacentral:lncRNA from 9 species